rnacentral:tRNA from 1 species
GCCGCGGUGGCGAAACUGGCAGACGCGUAUGGCUUAGAACUAUAUGAGGUAAAACUCUUGGGAGUUCGACUCUCCCCCGCGGCACCA